rnacentral:rRNA from 1 species
CGGGGUGGAGUAAUGUCUGGGAAACUGCCCGAUGGAGGGGGAUAACUACUGGAAACGGUAGCUAAUACCGCAUAAUGUCGCAAGGCCAAGAGGGGGACCUUCGGGCCUCUUGCCAUCGGAUGUGCCCAGAUGGGAUUAGCUAGUAGGUGGGGUAACGGCUCACCUAGGCGACGAUCCCUAGCUGGUCUGAGAGGAUGACCAGCCACACUGGAACUGAGACACGGUCCAG